rnacentral:misc_RNA from 1 species
UCCGGGUUGGACCCGGCGGUCCCGCCAGACAUCGUAACUGGCGGCGAGGGUUGCGCUCGUUGCGGGACUUAACCCAACACCUCACGGCACGAGCUGACGACAGCCGUGCAGCAUCUGUGCGCGCUCCCUUGCGGGUCCUCGGCGUUUCCGCCUCGUACCACGCGCAUGUCAAGCCCGGGUAAGGUUCUUCGCGUUGCGUCGAAUUAAACCACACGCUCCGCUGCUUGUGCGGGCCCCCGUCAAUUCCUUUGAGUUUUAGCCUUGCGGCCGUAGUCCCCAGGCGGCGCACUUACCGCGUUAGCUGCGGCACCGGGGGGGUCGAUACCCCCGACACCUAGUGCGCAUCGUUUACGGCGUGGACUAC